CAUUAAAUAACUUAAAUGUAAGUAAUGGUCUCUUAAACCAUCUUAUAAUAGAUUAACAACUAUUUUUAAUGA
rnacentral:tRNA from 1 species